rnacentral:lncRNA from 1 species
AAUGGUGAUUUGUAAAACGGCUCGUAAUGAAGAGGCUACUGGAGAGUGGCUGAACAGUGCUAAGCAAACUGCAGUUCCCCAGAAAGAGAGUAUUUUUCUGCAAAGGACUGUAGAAGAAGCAGCAUUGCAAAAGAGCUGGCCUUUCUCCUCUAAAUAGACGUGAAGGCCUUCCCUCCAGAUAUCCGGGGGUUCUGUACUGAUGUGGAGACCAUUUGAACCUCUGGUUGGACCCCAUCAUUUCCUGUUUUAUGAGGGAGAGUAAUUUGUCACCGGGGAAUAACUUC